AUGGUGAAGCCAACCAUGGACUCGCAGGAGGCGGCCAAGAUGCAACGAAGAGGACGGCGGCGGACCAGCGGAUCAUGGCGUCGGAGGACGAGAACGAGGACGCGGAGGCGCCGGACGCUGACGGCGUGGAACAGCCCGUCGGACCCCCCGCCGGGGCCCGUGGUCAUGGCGAUGUCCGGCGACCCCCAGGUGUUCAUCUGGAACGGCGACGACCUGGUCUGGCGCUCCGGCCCCUGGGACGGCGUCCAGUUCACCGGCGUGCCGGACACCGUCACCUACUCCGACUUCACCUUCAGCUUCAUCAACAACGCCCAGGAGGUCACGUACAGCUUCCACGUAAGAAACUCAUCGCUCAUGCACGCACGCACGCACGCACACGUAGUACACUUCUCACGGCUCGCGACAACAUCACCUGCGCCGUCGUCUAACGUCCAUUUCCUGGACCAGCAGCCCCCCGGCGACCACCAACGGAUCCCCAACCACUGUCGUGCCGGGGAAAUGUUCAACUGA
rnacentral:rRNA from 1 species